GGAGAGAUGGCUGAGCGGUCGAAAGCACAUCCUUGCUAAGGAUGCGUACCUUCGGGUACCUAGGGUUCGAAUCCCUAUCUCUCCG
rnacentral:tRNA from 1 species